UCGAGAAUCAUUCGCAAUGGGCGAAAGCCUGACGAUGCGACGCCGUGUGAACGAAGAAGGCCUUCGGGUUGUAAAGCUCUUUCGCUUGGGAACAAGAGAUGUAACUUAAUAACCGGCAAAUUUGAGGGUACCAGGUAAAGAAGCACCGGCUAACUCCGUGCCAGCAGCUGCGGUAAUACGGAGGGUGCAAGCAUUAAUCGGAUUUAUUGGGCGUAAAGGGCGCGUAGGCGGAAAUGUAAGUCAGAUGUGAAAUCCCUGGGCUCAACCCAGGAACUGCAUUUGAAACUACAUUUCUAGAGGGUAGGCGGAGAAAAUGGAAUUCCACAUGUAGCGGUGAAAUGCGUAGAUAUGUGGAGGAACACCAGUGGCGAAGGCGGUUUUCUAGCUUACUCCUGACGCUGAGGCGCGAAAGCAAGGGGAUCAAACAGGAUUAGAUACCCCCGUAGUCC
rnacentral:rRNA from 1 species